UUGUUUGUGGCUGUAAAAGAGAGGCUGAUGAGACUUACUUGGACUGGAGAAAGUUGAUACAAAUGCUUGGCCAAGAACUUUGGUCCAAAGAGAGCAAACUGUAACGGAUGAUCAGUUCUCCCAUAGCUCCCCAACACGGUAUCCAACCAAUCUUGCUCUGAAAUGCUUGCCAUCAUCUGCAUAUUUCAUUCAGACAUCAGAAAAUCACUUGUAAGAAGAGAUAGAACCGUGUAAUAGAAUCAUUAUUGUACAUUUUUGAAAACAUAAGCAGGUGGGUUUGUUGUGUCAGGCAUGAAGGAUGUCACAAAGACAAUAGCAGAGAUCUUAUGAGGGAAAAUGUCAGCUGCAAACGCUGCGGAUAUUCCUCCCAUGCUAUGAGCAACAAGAACCACCUUCUCUUCAUCAGCCGAGC
rnacentral:lncRNA from 1 species